UAAAAGUCAGAAGAGCAGCGAGUCAGAGUUUCAAACGAUGAGACGAGGGAUGAAAGAAUAUUGUUCCCUGAUUAAAUAUCAUUAUAAAGGAACAGUUCAACAUUCUGUGAAAGUUUCUGAGAUGAGAUGUCGAGCAUCAGUCCUUGAACACAGCCUGGCUGGUUUUUAUGCUAAGCUAGGUUAAAUCAGCAGAGAUGAUAAAGUUUCUUUCAGAGCUGAAGUUCUGUUCAUUUGGUACCAAAGAAGAAACUGAUCCAUUCUUGUCUUUUACAUUUGCAGUGUUUAUAUCCUGCAGUGUUCAUCAGGUGGAUCCUGCUUUUUCCUCUCUACAGAUAUUUUUCCACUCAGCUUCAGUCCAGUCACAGCUGUCUCACAGGCUCAGACUCAGGUUUUUGUGUUGUAAAAACUUCAACACAAUCAGAGAAAUGAAAAGCACAGUUCAGUUAGAGAAUCCUCUCUCCUGAUUGGAGGAGGAGGUUUAAUCAGAGUCUGUGACGCAGCUAAAAACAGGAGCUCUGACUCUGGUUUGAACCCACAUCUCCUGGUUGGAGGUCAGUGUCCUUCCCCUCUGGACCAGAGAACCUCCUCCUUCAACCUUCAGACAGACUCAGGGUUCAGGUCUACCUGUGUCUGGUCUCAUCUGAUCUACAACUUGCUGCUAAAGGUUUCUCAGUGGUUUGAAGGUUCUCCUCGUGUUGCAUGUUUAGUUUCUGCAGCUGACACUUGUGUUGAUGUGAUCGGUGUUUGACGACUGAACCAAAGAGAAACCAGAGCUGAGAGUGGAUCAGCGCUGAAGACGGUCCAGUGGGGAAGGACGCCGACCUUCAACUGGGAGACGUGGGUUCAAACCCUGCUCAGGUACGACACACAGGUGUGAGUGUGAGAGAGUGUGUGGUUUCAUUUGCUGGUUCAAAAACUCAAAACUCAAAACUCAAAAAACCAAAAACUCAAACCCUAAAACUUUCAAACCUUGCGAUCGUUGCGUUCGUCGAAUUUCACUUCGAUUUCAACUUGCGAAUUUCUGAAUUUCUGAAUUUCCACCGAGGAGCAACAAGGAGGAAACAGAACAGAUGAGCCCAGGGGGUUCAGCUAGCUUAGCUAAGCUAGCUGGACAGGCAUUUUG